GCGACGCCGAGCGGAACCCGAAAACCUAGUCUCAGUUCGGAUCGGAGUCUGNAACCCGACUCCGUGAAGCUGGAUUCGCUAGUAAUCGCGCAUCAGCCAUGGCGCGGUGAAUACGUUCCCGGGCCUUGUACACACCGCCCGUCAAGCCAUGGAAGCCGGGGGUGCCUGAAGUGUGCAGCCGCAAGGAGCGCCCUAAGGUAAAACCGGUGACUGGGGCUAAGUCGUAACAAGGUAUC
rnacentral:rRNA from 1 species